GGAAAUCUGACCGUGCAAUGCAAACUCUGUUUGCCAGCAACAAGCUGCUCUCAGCGUCAAAAGACUACAGCUCCAACCUAAAGAAACAUCUGGAACUUAGUGUCAGAUCAACACAGGCCUGCCCUCCAGCACUAUCAGCAGCAACCCCUCAACAGCAACAUUGGACCCAUCAGUCAUCGAGACCUCAGACGUGGUCAGAAGAGCCGCAAGUCAUAGAGGAAGGGUUGAGCUGCACUGAGCCACGUACCAAACAGAAAGCAUGAAGAUGCCAUCUUUAAAAUUAAACCUCU